AGCGAACGCUGGCGGCAGGCUUAACACAUGCAAGUCGAACGGGCACUUCGGUGCUAGUGGCAGACGGGUGAGUAACACGUGGGAACGUACCUUUCGGUUCGGAAUAAUACAGGGAAACUUGUACUAAUACCGGAUACGCCCUUCGGGGGAAAGAUUUAUCGCCGAUAGAUCGGCCCGCGUCUGAUUAGCUAGUUGGUGAGGUAACGGCUCACCAAGGCGACGAUCAGUAGCUGGUCUGAGAGGAUGAUCAGCCACACUGGGACUGAGACACGGCCCAGACUCCCACGGGAGGCAGCAGUGGGGAAUAUUGGACAAUGGGCGCAAGCCUGAUCCAGCCAUGCCGCGUGAGUGAUGAAGGCCUUAGGGUUGUAAAGCUCUUUUGUCCGGGAAGAUAAUGACUGUACCGGAAGAAUAAGCCCCGGCUAACUUCGUGCCAGCCGCCGCCGUAA
rnacentral:rRNA from 1 species